CUACGUAGGGUGCAAGCGUUAAUCGGAAUUACUGGGCGUAAAGCGUGCGCAGGCGGUUAUAUAAGACAGAUGUGAAAUCCCCGGGCUCAACCUGGGAAUUGCAUCUGUGACUGUAUAGCUAGAGUACGGGAGAGGGGGAUGGAAUUCCGCGUGUAGCAGUGAAAUGCGUAGAUAUGCGGAGGAACACCGAUGGCGAAGGCAAUCCCCUGGACCUGUACUGACGCUCAUGCACGAAAGCGUGGGGAGCAAACAGGAUUAGAUACCCUGGUAGUCCACGCCCUAAACGAUGUCAACUGGUUGUUGGGUCUUCAUUGACUCAGUAACGAAGCUAACGCGUUAAGUCGACCGCCUGGGGAGUACGGCCGCAAGGUUGAAACUUAAAGGAAUUGACGGGG
rnacentral:rRNA from 1 species